rnacentral:rRNA from 1 species
AACGAACGCUGGCGGCAGGCUUAACACAUGCAAGUCGAACGCCCCGCAAGGGGAGUGGCAGACGGGUGAGUAACGCGUGGGAAUCUACCCAGUUCUACGGAACAACUGAGGGAAACUUCAGCUAAUACCGUAUACGCCCUAAGGGGGAAAGAUUUAUCGGAAUUGGAUGAGCCCGCGUUAGAUUAGCUAGUUGGUGGGGUAACGGCCUACCAAGGCGACGAUCUAUAGCUGGUCUGAGAGGAUGAUCAGCCACACUGGGACUGGGACACGGCCCAGACUCCUACGGGAGGCAGCAGUGGGGAAUAUUGGACAAUGGGCGCAAGCCUGAUCCAGCCAUGCCGCGUGAGUGAUGAAGGCCUUAGGGUUGUAAAGCUCUUUCAGUAGGGACGAUAAUGACGGUACCUACAGAAGAAGCCCCGGCUAACUUCGUGCCAGCCGCCGCAGUAAUAC